CCGGCAUCCGCCCUCAUCCCCAGACAAUGAGCUGUGGAGGAGAGCGGGUUCUCUUACCCCGUUAUGGGGUUUUCUGUCCUCUGUGAUAAAAAAAGAACUCUUGAAAAGCUGAAGCUCUAAACUUCAUGGAAACAAGGGGGACAGAAGAAAUAUGAAGAAAUGAAGAAGCGUGGAAGGACUGUGAGAAGAAAAAGGUAAGGCACUUCUGUCUGCUAGAGUUCUAUUAGAACAUUCCAAGAUGUUGUACCGAGUCUGUGUGAAUUUGUUAAAAGUGUAUUAUUGGAAAGAUAAAAAGAAUUAUAGGUGUAGACUUUAAACCCUUCAAAGCAGAGAGAUUAGAGCUCUCUUACGCUAAGGUAGUACUCUACUGGGGGAAAACAAAUACUUGUAAAGCUGUAUGCUGAGUUCUGACUUACUUGAAGUCAGAGAUCAGGGAAGCUAGGUCUGGGAUUUGGGCUGAGGUCUUCAUUGAUGUACAUUGAAAAUGAGGUUUUAAGUUGUAUGAUGGUUUAAAGGCUUAAGAGAUGGUCUUCACUGAAUGCUUUUUUUUCCUUAAUUGCAUAUUCUGAGUGUUGAUUCCUAAAUUGUUUGUUUUGUAUCUUGGUGUUGAAGGAGGUAAGCUGGACUUCAUUAGCUACUUCAGUCAGUAAAUAAGAUGUGUCAAGGACUGAGCUGUUUCAGGAAAAAAAGCUCUUUUUAUCCAAGUGCUGCUUGGGCAAAUCUGAGACCUCAGCUGGCUGAGCAGAACCAAAUCACGUUCUGGUCAACUGAGAAAAGGCACUUGGGGUCCUGUGCCAAUAUAUCAAAGGAGACAGCAGCUCUGGAGGGCCAGUAUGAACCUUGGUUAGUCACACUUCUGUACACUGACUGGGGGAACUCUUAAACUUGCUUUUCUAAUGCAAGAAUGCAUCUGUGUUGUGUUCAGGAAUAAGUAUGUGUCUACUAAUGCUUUUGAGGCAUUUUUUCCAUGGCUGUAUCUUGGUGUUUUCUUCAAAAUAAAUAACUGAAGGCAUCUUUAAGCUUUCUCAUGGAUCUGAACUGUUAAAAUAAUCCAAUAGAUGUGACCAAUAGCAGUUUUUCCUUCAGACUGUGACUGAAAAAAGAAUUUGGUGCUUCAUUCAGUACUCAAAUGUUUUCUGCAGACUGUCUGCAAUCUGGCAUUUGCAUCGCAAUGAUAAAUAAGUAACAAAUGUGUGUGGAAAACACCAAGUCAAUCACAGAGCUCACUGGGGCUAGUAUGCAUGUGGUGAAUGCCUGUUAUGUGGCUGUAACAAUAGAUUCUCAGGUACUACACUGGUGAAAUUAGAACUUGUUCUGUGCAGAAUAGAAUAAGUCAACACAUGAAAGAUGCAAAUAAGUCAUGUUGCAAAUAUAACAGUGCCUGCUUCAAAUGCUUGAUGACUCUAUAAGGGCAUCCUCAGAUAAUAACUAUGUGAUAGCAAAUCUCCUGCAAAUGCAGACUUUGCUUUUGAAAUUGCUUGAAGUAUUUUAGUCUUGGUUAUUGAGCUCUAAUAGUAACACUAAUCUCUUUAGCUGUCGCAAGAACUCUCAACCAAACAAAAGUAGGCUUGAAGAUUUGCAGAAACUUGAUACAUAAUGUAUGAUUUGUCAGCUCAGUAUUACAUGUAUUGAACUACAGGGAUUCCAGUUGUUUUCCUUUGGGGCCUCACUGGUAGUUCCUCAGGCUGUAUUUUUGGCAUAUCCUAUCGCUUUUCCUCUAAGCAGCUGUGCUUUGCUCAAGUGUGAAUAGGCUCUUGCUGUUAUUCAACUAGCUGUCACUCAACUAGGUUCUAUAUAUUUAGGCCUGCAUUCUUUGAACAAAAUACCUCUGUACUUUAUAGUAUAUUCUGAAAGAUUCUAAGGUAGUGACACCCAAAAUCCUAUAGCCAAGUGUGCUUUCUCCUGUAUUCUUGUUGAUUAUUAAAAUUCCAAAUCACACUUUACUGUACUAGUGUGAUGCAGUUAAUAUAUAGCUUUUAACUGUGAAGUAUGGAGCAGAAAUCCGUAGCAAAAUAGUGUUUUAGCUUUUGCUACAGAUUAAUAUCAUUUGUUGGAAGUCAUUACACAUUAGAAAUUCACAUUUAUAAAUAUUUCAGCAGCUUGCUCUUGAUGUAGCAGUCUUCCAUGUAUAAAUCCUGUGCUCUCAAGCUGCUUGUUUAAAUUAUAAAUGUCUCUACAGAGCUUACCACAUCAUACCUCUGUGAAUGAUAAAUGCUUCAGUAACCUAAUCAGAUCUUGUUUUCAAGGUAUCCAAAACCAGUGAGAUUAAGAGAUAGGCAGCAUUAAAAAGGUAGGUUCUUUUUAUGGUGAAAAGAGCUCAGUAGAUCAGCCUUUAAUUCUACAACUUUCUUGUGGUAUUCUUCACCCAUUGGGGCACAUCAGUGACUGCAAUACUGUUGUUUUCCAGACCUCAUUCAACCUCAGCAAGCAGGAGCAGCCUGGCUGUCUUGUUCUGUCAUGGUCAGCGCUGUUGUUGGUUUCUCUUGCCCCUGUUCAUUGCCACAGAGGCUCUCAGUUUGCUGUGUCUGGGAGGUUUUGAUUUUUGUUGUUGAUGUGAUCAGUUCUCCUUGAAACUUAGGUAGGUCUGGCUACCAGUGUACAAGAAAGUUAUCUUUAUUUUCACCUCACUUUGAGAAUAUGUACCACCUGGUGGUGUUCUGGAGUACCUGCACUUCAAUUUACAUUUUGUGGUGGUCAGAGAAGCCUACAAAUGUCAAGCCAUCUGAAGUACUGAACAUUUAGUUUCUGUAUUCUUAAAAUAGCAGUAUUGCUAUUCUGUGUAAAUUACACCAAUAGUGACACAGAGAUAAAGAUGAAAUCCAAUUACAUUUAGAGUAUCAAAUUUUAUGGUAUC